rnacentral:rRNA from 1 species
GACGAACGCUGGCGGCGUGCCUAAUACAUGCAAGUCGAACGAACCGCGACUGAGUGCUUGCACUUGGUCAAGGUGAGUGGCGAACGGGUGAGUAACACGUGGGUAACCUACCUCAUAGUGGGGGAUAACAGUCGGAAACGACUGCUAAUACCGCAUAGGACAUGGGAUCACAUGAUUCCGUGAGGAAAGGUGGCGCAAGCUAUCGCUAAGAGAUGGACCCGCGGUGCAUUAGCUAGUUGGUAGGGUAACGGCCUACCAAGACGACGAUCAGUAACCGGCCUGAGAGGGUGAACGGUCAUAUUGGAACUGAGACACGGUCCAAACUCCUACGGGAGGCAGCAGUGGGGAAUCUUGCACAAUGGGGGAAACCCUGAUGCAGCGACGCCGCGUGAGCGAUGAAGGUUUUCGAAUCGUAAAGCUCUGUCCUAUGGGAAGAUAAUGACGGUACCAUAGGAGGAAGCCCCGGCUAACUACGUGCCAGCAGCCGCGGUAAUACGUAGGGGGCGAGCGUUGUCCGGAAUUACUGGGCGUAAAGGGUUCGCAGGCGGCAUGGCAAGUCCGAUGUAAAAGGCGAAGGCUCAACCUUCGUAAGCAUCGGAAACUGUCAAGCUUGAGUGAAGGAGAGGCAAGUGGAAUUCCUAGUGUAGCGGUGGAAUGCGUAGAUAUUAGGAGGAAUACCGGUGGCGAAGGCGACUUGCUGGACUUCAACUGACGCUGAGGAACGAAAGCGUGGGUAGCAAACAGGAUUAGAUACCCUGGUAGUCCACGCCGUAAACGAUGAGUGCUAGGUGUCGGGGGUCAAACCUCGGUGCCGCCGUUAACACAAUAAGCACUCCGCCUGGGGAGUACGUGCGCAAGCAUGAAACUCAAAGGAAUUGACGGGGACCCGCACAAGCAGCGGAGCAUGUGGUUUAAUUCGAAGCAACGCGAAGAACCUUACCAGGACUUGAAAUACUAGCGCCCGCUUUAGAGAUAAAGCCUUUUCUUCGGAAACGCUAAUACAGGUGGUGCAUGGUUGUCGUCAGCUCGUGUCGUGAGAUGUUGGGUUAAGUCCCGCAACGAGCGCAACCCUUACUUUUAGUUGCCAGCACGUAAUGGUGGGAACUCUAAAGGGACUGCCGAUGAUAAAUCGGAGGAAGGUGGGGAUGACGUCAAAUCAUCAUGCCCUUUAUGUCCUGGGCUACACACGUGCUACAAUGGUCGGUACAGAGGGCAGCGACAGAGCGAUCUCAAGCGAAUCUCAAAAAGCCGAUCCCAGUUCGGAUUGCAGGCUGCAACUCGCCUGCAUGAAGUCGGAGUUGCUAGUAAUCGCAGAUCAGAAUGCUGCGGUGAAUGCGUUCCCGGGUCU